GAGAGUUUGGCCGAGUGGUUUAAGGCGUCAGAUUUAGGCCUAAUAGUUUAAAAUCUCUGAUAUCUACGGAUUCGCGGGUUCGAAUCCCGUAGCUCUCA
rnacentral:tRNA from 1 species